CCUCCUGCACCCUGACUAGGUACCGGUCACCCCUCCUGCACCCUGACUCGGUACUCGUGACCCUCUCCUGCACCCUGACUCGGUACUGGUGACCCUCCUGCACCCUGACUAGGUACUGGUCACCCCUCCUGCACCCUGACUCGGUACCGGUGACCCUCCUGCACCCUGACUAGGUACCGGUCACCCCUCCUGCACCCUGACUCGGUACUGGCGACCCUCUCCUGCACCCUGACUAGGUACUCGUGACCCUCUCCUGCACCCUGACCCGGUACUGGUGACCCUCCUGCACCCUGACUAGGUACCGGUCACCCCUCCUACACCCUGACUCGGUACCGGUGACCCUCCUGCACCCUGACUAGGUACCGGUCACCCCUCCUACACCCUGACUAGGUACCGGUCACCCCUCCUGCACCCUGACUCGGUACCGGUGACCCUCCUGCACCCUGACUAGGUACUGGCGACCCUCCUGCACCUUGACUCAGUACUGGCGACCCUCCUGCACCCUGACUAGGUACUGGCGACCCUCCUGCACCCUGACUAGGUACCGGUCACCCUCUCCUGCACCCUGACUAGGUACCGGUCACCCCUCCUGCACCCUGACUAGGUAUGGGUGACCCUCCUGCACCCUGACUAGGUACUGGCGACCCUCCUGCACCUUGACUCGGUACUGGCGACCCUCCUGCACCCUGACUAGGUACCGGUCACCCUCUCCUGCCCCCUGACUCGGUACUGGCGACCCUCCUGCACCCUGACUAGGUACCGGUCACCCUCCUGCACCCUGACUCGGUACUGGUGACCCUCCUGCACCCUGACUAGGUACCGGUCACCCUCUCCUGCACCCUGACUAGGUACCGGUCACCCCUCCUGCACCCUGACUCGGUACUGGCGACCCUCUCCUGCACCCUGACUAGGUACUCGUGACCCUCUCCUGCACCCUGACCCGGUACUGGUGACCCUCCUGCACCCUGACUAGGUACCGGUCACCCCUCCUACACCCUGACUCGGUACCGGUGACCCUCCUGCACCCUGACUAGGUACCGGUCACCCCUCCUACACCCUGACUAGGUACCGGUCACCCCUCCUACACCCUGACUAGGUACCGGUCACCCCUCCUACACCCUGACUCGGUACCGGUGACCCUCCUGCACCCUGACUCGGUACUGGCGACCCUCCUGCACCCUGACUAGGUACUGGUGAUCCUCCUGCACCCUGACUAGGUACUGGUCACCCUCCUGCACCCUGACUAGGUACUGGUGACCCUCCUGCACCCUGACUAGGUACUGGUCACCCUCCUGCACCCUGACUAGGUACUGGUGACCCUCCUGCACCCUGACUAGGUACUGGUCACCCUCCUGCACCCUGACUAGGUACUGGUCACCCUCCUGCACCCUGACUAGGUACCGGUCACCCCUCCUGCACCCUGACUCGGUACCGGUGACCCUCCUGCACCCUGACUAGGUACCGGUCACCCCUCCUACACCCUGACUCGGUACCGGUCACCCCUCCUGCACCCUGACUAGGUACUGGUGACCCUCCUGCACCCUGACUAGGUACCGGUCACCCUCUCCUGCACCCUGACUCGGUCAUGGCGACCCUCCUGCACCCUGACUAGGUACCGGUCACCCUCUCCUGCACCCUGACUCGGUACUGGCGACCCUCCUGCACCCUGACUAGGUACCGGUCACCCUCUCCUGCACCCUGACUAGGUACCGGUCACCCCUCCUGCACCCUGACUAGGUAUGGGUGACCCUCCUGCACCCUGACUAGGUACUGGCGACCCUCCUGCACCUUGACUCAGUACUGGCGACCCUCCUGCACCCUGACUAGGUACUGGCGACCCUCCUGCACCCUGACUAGGUACCGGUCACCCUCUCCUGCACCCUGACUAGGUACCGGUCACCCCUCCUGCACCCUGACUAGGUAUGGGUGACCCUCCUGCACCCUGACUAGGUACUGGUCACCCUCCUGCACCCUGACUAGGUACUGGUGACCCCUCCUGCACCCUGACUAGGUACUGGUCACCCUCCUGCACCCUGACUAGGUACUGGCGACCCUCCUGCACCCUGACUAGGUACUGGUCACCCUCCUGCACCCUGACUAGGUACUGGCGACCCUCCUACACCCUGACUAGGUACCGGUCACCCUCUCCUGCACCCUGACUAGGUACUGGUGACCCUCCUGCACCCUGACUAGGUACCGGUGACUCUCCUGCACCCUGACUAGGUACCGGUCACCCUCUCCUGCACCCUGACUAGGUACCGGUGACCCUCCUGCACCCUGACUAGGUACCGGUCACCCUCCUGCACCCUGACUAGGUACCGGUCACCCUCCUGCACCCUGACUAGGUACCGGUGACCCUCUCCUGUACCCUGACUAGGUACUGGUGACCCUCUCCUGCACCCUGACUAGGUACUGGUGACCCUCUCCUGCACCCUGACUAGGUACUGGUGACCCUCUCCUGCACCCUGACUAGGUACUGGUGACCCUCUCCUGCACCCUGACUAGGUACUGGUGACCCUCUCCUGCACCCUGACUAGGUACUCGUGACCCUCUCCUGCACCCUGACUAGGUACUCGUGACCCUCUCCUGCACCCUGACUAGGUACUGGUGACCCUCUCCUGCACCCUGACUAGGUACUCGUGACCCUCUCCUGCACCCUGACUAGGUACUGGUGACCCUCUCCUGCACCCUGACUAGGUACU